rnacentral:tmRNA from 1 species
CUCCGGAAGCGAGACUCAAAUCAGAUCACUACACAUGUAGAACUGCGCGAUGAAGGCUUGCGGACGGGGGUUCAAAUCCCCCCAGCUCCACCAUAUUCUUAGGGCUACGUCCAAGUAAAUCAAGGACUUAGCUACUGGACGUCCGUCCAGCGCCGUCACAUUCCGUCCACCGAUUCACACGUUUUUCACACGCGGAUCGGUCGCUUCGGGUGCUGGCGGAAGGCCCGGCAAAGGCUGGUGCCCGUAUCGCGCUGGCGGCCGAUCGAAGCCCAGCGCCACCCCUUGCUCGACCCACCGCCCGUAGUGGCGCGUCACCAUCUCGGUCGUCUUGUGGCCUAACAGCCUCGCAAUGUACGCCGGAUUCUCACCCUGGCUCAAAAGCUGGCUCGCGAAGGUGUGCCGCAUCUGGUACGGGUUGCGGUAGCGGGCC